GCAAGUCGAGCGAGAAAGCACUUCGGUGCGAGUACAGCGGCGGACGGGUGAGUAACGCGUAGGAAUCUACCUGGUAGUGGGGGACAACUUGUGGAAACGCAAGCUAAUACCGCAUACGCCCUAAGGGGGAAAGCGGGGGAUCUUCGUACCUCGCGCUAUCGGAUGAGCCUGCGUAGGAUUAGCUAGUUGGUGAGGUAAAGGCUCACCAAGGCGACGAUCCCUAGCUGGUUUGAGAGGAUGAUC
rnacentral:rRNA from 1 species